UACGGGGGGGGCAAGCGUUGUUCGGAAUUACUGGGCGUAAAGGGCUCGUAGGUGGCCGACUAAGUCAGACGUGAAAUCCCUCGGCUUAACCGGGGACCUGCGUCUGAUACUGGACGGCUUGAGUUCGGGAGAGGGAUGCGGAAUUCCAGGUGUAGCGGUGAAAUGCGUAGAUAUCUGGAGGAACACCGGUGGCGAAGGCGGCAUCCUGGACCGACACUGACACUGAGGAGCGAAAGCCAGGGGAGCAAACGGG
rnacentral:rRNA from 1 species